UCGUCGCGAUCGCGUUUGCAUUCACAGGCGCUUCCGGAUCGGCGGGCGGUGGACUGUCCGAGCUUCAUCAAGGUUGUGAUAGUUGGCGAUGGCGGUGCUGCUACUAUUGGCGUGGAAGUUCGCCCUCUGAACUUCUUCACAAACUGUGGGAAGAUCAGGUUUAACUGCUUGGACGCUGCUGGUCAAGAAAAGUUUGGUGGCCUCCAAGAUGGUUACUAGUGCUCUUCCCAGAUCACCAUAAAGCUGGUUCUAUGGAAAAGGAACAAAAAGAAAAAGUGUACACGGAGGAGUGUGCCGUUAUCAUGUCAAGAAUUGUUCCAACAUGGCAUCUGCAGGAAUGCUGUGGAAGCUAAAGUUUAUUGCUCCUCUUAAUUAUUGCCUGUAUUGUGCUGCUAAUCUUGUCACUUGUUUUCUGUUGCGUUGAUGAAGGGUGUGUGGAAAAUAUUCAUACUGUUACGAGUGGUGACAUAGUCAACGUGGAAAACCGGCAGGUAAAAGCAAAGCAGGUCAUGUUUCACAGGAAAUAGAAUCUCCGGUAAUAUGAAUCAUCAUCCUCUAGGACCAACUACAACUUCGAGAAGCCCUUCUUGUACCUCCCCAAAAAACUUGCGAGGGAUAUCAAGACCUUCAUUUUGUGGAAUCACCUGCCCUUGCACCACCCGAAGUCCGGCUGAGCAAGCGAGGUAAUAAUUGAUAUAUAGGUCCAUUACUUAAAAAAAAGAAAAGAAAAUUAUUAGCUUUUUAUUGUCCAAUCAAACUUAGCUUGAAACUGAGGAAACCACUAGCUUGUCAGUGUUACAAAAUCCAAUCUAAAAACUUAUUAGGGGGAAGAAAAACUACGUAAUAUGAAAAAGCGGUGUGGGGGUAGUUUUGCCUUGUUAGAACCUCUCUUUCAAAGCUCGUCUUUGGAUUGGGAAGAAUUAGUUGUUUGAAAAGAAGAACUAUAGACGGAGAUACCAACAGAGAUUCUAUUGCUUUUUGCAG